UGAGCAGAAGAUACGUGGUCGAAGGUGGGCUUUAGGAAGGCUAAUGUAGGCCAAAAGGGUAGGGAGAAGAAAUCAGGAAGUGGCUGCAGUGUCAGAGUGAAGGGUAGCAGGGGCCUGGCCUGCAUAUGAGGGAAGUGAGCAGUGGGCCUGGAAGAUUAUUUGUUCCUCAUGACAGCCUUGAGAGGUACAGAGUUUUCUUCUCCUUUUAUAGAUGAGGAAUGGGAGACUCAGAAAAGGGGAGCUGCUUGCUCGGGACUUGAGCCCUGGUUCAUGUGAUUUGGUUGACUCAGGGGCUCUGUGGAACAAUGUGUCAGAGGGAACUCUGAGUAUGAGGAGGCUUGUGUGUGCAUGCGUGUGUGUGUGCGUGUUUGUGUGCACAUGUGUGUGUGCAUGCUUGUCUGUCUGUGAGAUGGACAGCAGUGCCUUCCCUUGCCUAUCCUCUUUCCUUCCCACUUCUUCCUAAUCCUCCACUUUCCUAGAUUCCGUACCUACUGCCUCCCCCAAGCCCAGGGGUCCAGAAGUGGGGUGAUAAUGUUUCAUUGGGUCUCCUCAGAAGAUCAGGCUCAUCACUCCAAGGCACCUGCCCCUCCUCCACCACCGCUCCCAGCUCUGCUGUCUGGCCAUCCACCUCAUGAAGCUAUAGCGAAGCUCCAGUGACUGCCACAUGCAGACUGGCCCUUGGUACCGCUGUGUGGUACCCUAGGGUACUGUGUAUCUGCAGUGACUCCUCCCUGCCUCUGUGGCACUUCUGUGUGGGUGUAAGCGGCCACCUUGGGAAUUAGAUUCAGCUAAUGAGCAGUGAACAAUAACCACCACCGGGUUCCCAUUGCUCUUAUUUGCGAGGCACUUGACAUAUGUUCCAGUCCUUUCAACAAUCCAGUGGGGUUGGCACAUGAGCCCCAUUUUUGCAGACGAGAAAACUGAGGCUUCAAGAGGGGUGAUAAUACACCUGGGAACACGGCCUGGAAGCACUGGUAGAGCUGGCAUUGCAACCCAGGGAAGAGGAGGAGGAGGAGACUGAGGAAGAGGAAGAGGAAGACGCUCAUCAGUUCUGCUGUCCGGCCUCCGAGUGCAGCAGUCCCUCCUCUCGGUAACUGAGAGGACAAGGGUCAUUUUCUAUGCAGAAGCAAAAGCCUUAACCAGUCCCCCAUGCCCCCCUCCCCGCAAUUCCCCAUGGCACUCCAUCCCUGCUUCAAGAACCAGAUGGGCAAGCAUCGUGCCCCUUCCUCCCCCACCUCCUUCUUCGAAUUCCUACCCCUACUGCUGCCUCCCCUGGACUCCAGCCCCCAAAUUAUAAAUGCUGGAGCCCUAGGUCUGACUCAAAUGUGGGAGCAGCAAAGCUUGGAGCUUGGAACCUGGACCCUCCCGCAACUGCACCCCGCUUCCCAGGCACCCUGAAGCCUGCCACUCCUGGAGAGGUCUCCAAAUAACAUCCCAAGGACCUACCUCUGUCCUCUGUGAGCACAAACAGAGAUGCAGGGUGCCUAGGGCUCGGAGGACCAGAUGGGGCAGGACCCAGCCUGCCUAAUUCCCCAUCACUUGUUCCCUUGCUGUGGCCAUUGCUGCCAUCUCUCCCACUGCUUGAAGGCCUUGUCCCAUGCCCCCUGCCACUCCCAUAAUGCUCUGUAAAUAUGAUCAGGAGGAAAAGGCCUUUCAGAGUGCGUGCUGCUGUGUACAAAGGAAUUUCCAUCAAUAAAAGCUGAUCUCUUCUC